GUGCUCGCUUCAGCAGCACAUAUACUAAAAUCGGAACAAGAGAGAGAAGAUUAGCAUGGCUCCUGUGCAAGGAUGACAAGCAGAUUUGUGAAGCAUUCCACAUUUUU
ensembl:snRNA U6 U6 spliceosomal RNA